GAUGAACGCUGGCGGCGUGCCUAAUACAUGCAAGUCGAGCGAACAGACGAGGAGCUUGCUCCUCUGACGUGAGCGGCGGACGGGUGAGUAACACGUGGAUAACAUACCUAUAAGACUGGGAUAACUUCGGGAAACCGGAGCUAAUAACGGAUAAUAGAUUGAACCGUAUUGUUCAAUAGUGAAAGACGGUUUUGCUGUCACUUAUAGAUGGAUCCGCGCCGCAUUAGCUAGUUGUUAAGGUAACGGCCUACCAAGGCAACGCUGCGUAGCCGACCUGAGAGGCUGCUCGACCACCCUGCAACUGAGACACGGUCCCGACUCCUGCAGCAGGAAGCUGUACGCAAUCUUCCGCAAUGGGCGAAGCCCUGACGGAGCCACCCCGCCCGAGUGAUGCAGGCCUCCGGAUCGUAACACUCUGUUAUUAGGGAAGAACAAAUGUGUAAGUAACUAUGCUCGUAUUGACGGUAACUGCUCAGAAAGCCACGGCUAACUACGUG
rnacentral:rRNA from 1 species